rnacentral:rRNA from 1 species
UACGGAGGGAGCUAGCGUUGUUCGGAAUUACUGGGCGUAAAGCGCACGUAGGCGGCGAUUCAAGUCAGAGGUGAAAGCCCGGGGCUCAACCCCGGAACUGCCUUUGAAACUAGAUUGCUAGAAUCCUGGAGAGGUGAGUGGAAUUCCGAGUGUAGAGGUGAAAUGCGUAGAUAUUGGGAGGAACACCAGUGGCGAAGGCGGCUCACUGGACCGGAACUGACGCUGAGGCGCGAAAGCGUGGGGAGCAAACAGG